rnacentral:rRNA from 2 species
GGGGAAUAUUGCACAAUGGGGGAAACCCUGAUGCAGCGACGCCGCGUGGAGGAAGAAGGUCUUCGGAUUGUAAACUCCUGUUGUUGAGGAAGAUAAUGACGGUACUCAACAAGGAAGUGACGGCUAACUACGUGCCAGCAGCCGCGGUAAAACGUAGGUCACAAGCGUUGUCCGGAAUUACUGGGUGUAAAGGGAGCGCAGGCGGGCGAUCAAGUUGGAAGUGAAAUCCAUGGGCUCAACCCAUGAACUGCUUUCAAAACUGGUCGUCUUGAGUAGUGCAGAGGUAGGCGGAAUUCCCGGUGUAGCGGUGGAAUGCGUAGAUAUCGGGAGGAACACCAGUGGCGAAGGCGGCCUACUGGGCACCAACUGACGCUGAGGCUCGAAAGUGUGGGUAGCAAACAGGAUUAGAUACCCUGGUAGUCCACACCGUAAACGAUGAUUACUAGGUGUUGGGAGAUUGACCCUCUCAGUGCCGCAGUUAACACAAUAAGUAAUCCACCUGGGGAGUACGACCGCAAGGUUGAAACUCAAAGGAAUUGACGGGGGCCCGCACAAGCAGUGGAGUAUGUGGUUUAAUUCGACGCAACGCGAAGAACCUUACCAAGUCUUGACAUCCCUUGACGAUGCUGGAAACAGUAUUUCUCUUCGGAGCAAGGAGACAGGUGGUGCAUGGUUGUCGUCAGCUCGUGUCGUGAGAUGUUGGGUUAAGUCCCGCAACGAGCGCAACCCUUAUGGUCAGUUACUACGCAAGAGGACUCUGGCCAGACUGCCGUUGACAAAACGGAGGAAGGUGGGGAUGACGUCAAAUCAUCAUGCCCUUUAUGACUUGGGCUACACACGUACUACAAUGGCGUUAAACAAAGAGAAGCAAGACCGCGAGGUGGAGCAAAACUCAGAAACAACGUCCCAGUUCGGACUGCAGGCUGCAACUCGCCUGCACGAAGUCGGAAUUGCUAGUAAUCGUGGAUCAGCAUGCCACGGUGAAUACGUUCCCG